rnacentral:rRNA from 1 species
CAUCUUGACGGUACCUAACCAGAAAGCCACGGCUAACUACGUGCCAGCAGCCGCGGUAAUACGUAGGUGGCAAGCGUUAUCCGGAAUUAUUGGGCGUAAAGCGCGCGUAGGCGGUUUUUUAAGUCUGAUGUGAAAGCCCACGGCUCAACCGUGGAGGGUCAUUGGAAACUGGAAAACUUGAGUGCAGAAGAGGAAAGUGGAAUUCCAUGUGUAGCGGUGAAAUGCGCAGAGAUAUGGAGGAACACCAGUGGCGAAGGCGGCUUUCUGGUCUGCAACUGACGCUGAUGUGCGAAAGCGUGGGGAUCAAACAGGAUUAGAUACCCUGGUAGUCCACGCCGUAAACGAUGAGUGCUAAGUGUUAGGGGGUUUCCGCCCCUUAGUGCUGCAGCUAACGCAUUAA